GAUGAAGAACGUAGCGAAAUGCGAUACCUGGUGUGAAUUGCAGAAUCCCGCGAACCAUCGAGUCUUUGAACGCAAGUUGCGCCCGAGGCCACCCGGCCAAGGGCACGCCUGCCUGGGCGUCACGCCAAAACACGCUCCCACCCCCCCUCACCGGGGGAGCGGGACGCGGCGUCUGGCCCCCCGUGCCGCGAGGCGCGGUGGGCCGAAGAUCGGGCUGCCGGCGUACCGUGCCGGGCACAGCGCGUGGUGGAUCUCUACUCGGCGCAGUGCACCCGGCGCGUAGCCGGCGCAGCGGCCCCUAAGGACCCAACGAACGGAGCGCGAGCCGCUCCGACCGCGACCCCAGGUCAGGCGGGACUACCCGCUGAGUUUAAGCAUAUCAAUAAGCGGAGGA
rnacentral:misc_RNA from 1 species